GAUGAACGCUGGCGGCGUGCCUAAUACAUGCAAGUCGAGCGAAUUGACAGAGGUGCUUGCACCUCACGAUUUUAGCGGCGGACGGGUGAGUAACACGUGGGUAACCUACCUAUAAGACUGGGAUAACUUCGGGAAACCGGAGCUAAUACCGGAUAAUAUUUAGCUUCGCAUGAAGCAAUAGUGAAAGACGGUUCUGCUGUCACUUAUAGAUGGACCUGCGGUGUAUUAGCUAGUUGGUGAGGUAACGGCUCACCAAGGCAACGAUACAUAGCCGACCUGAGAGGGUGAUCGGCCACACUGGGACUGAGACACGGCCCAGACUCCUACGGGAGGCAGCAGUAGGGAAUCUUCCGCAAUGGACGAAAGUCUGACGGAGCAACGCCGCGUGAGUGAAGAAGGUUUUCGGAUCGUAAAACUCUGUUGUAAGGGAAGAACAAGUACGUUAGUAACUGAACGUACCUUGACGGUACCUCACCAGAAAGCCACGGCUAACUACGUGCCAGCCGCCGCGGUAAAAC
rnacentral:rRNA from 1 species